UAUAGUGUCCCAAAAUGGCACCCUGUUCUCUAUAUAGUUCACUACCUUUUAACCAGGGCCUGUCAUGCCAAAUAGUUUCCCCCUGCCAAAAAGUGUCACAAUGGGAUUCCAUGAGUUCUAGCUUCUGUUGCUAGGGAUGUUGCUAGAACUUGCAAAAUUCUGACCAGAUUGUGAUGAAUCAAAGCGUCCGUUGCUAUGCUGGUUGCUUGGAUCUAUUUCACUUCAUAAGCGCUCGCUCAGUUCGCACAAAAUUAUUACCUCAGAAUUGCUCCUUGUUUUUGAGGAUGACAACCUGCUGCUUCAGAGGACUAAAAAGACUGGAAAGAGAACACUCUUUAACCUUACCAUAUAUUUGUCUUUAUAUAAGAACACUUGUUAAAUAGGAAGAAAUAAUGUAGGCUGUAUAUAGAUUGCUAGCUACUGUACUUAUUUACCUCAGCCUGUCUGGUCAUUUAGCCAGCCAGCCAGUUUUAUUUAGCUAACGUUAGCUAGCUAGCUACUGUACUUAUUUACCUCAGCCUGUCUGGUCAUUUAGCCAGCCAGACAGUUUUAUUUAGCUAACGUUAGCUAGCUAGCUACUGUACUUAUUUACCUCAGCCAGUCUGGUCAUUUAGCCAGCCAGCCAGUUUUAUUUAGCUAACGUUAGCUAGCUAGCUACUGUACUUAUUUACCUCAGCCUGUCUGGUCAUUUAGCCAGCCAGACAGUUUUAUUUAGCUAACGUUAGCUAGCUAGCUACUGUACUUAUUUACCUCAGCCAGUCUGGUCAUUUAGCCAGCCAGACAGUUUUAUUUAGCUAACGUUAGCUAGCUAGCUACUGUACUUAUUUACCUCAGCCUGUCUGGUCAUUUAGCCAGCCAGCCAGACAGUUUUAUUUAGCUAACGUUAGCUAGCUAGCUACUGUAACUGUUAUUGUAGCUUUCUGUUUGUAUAUAUCUUGCAUUUCAAUGGCAUCCCUCUGAGAUUUUCUUUUAACUUUCCAACCAGGCGAAGUACAAUGAAGGCACCACGGAUCUCGACAAGAGGCGCAACGUUAAGCAGUGCUAUUUAGAUAACUGGACAGAUUUAGCUACGUACAACCAAUUUCCAUCUAGCUAGUUGGUCGUCUACAUGUUGCUAGCGGUACAUAUAGUUCAAUGGGAGGACGGCUCGUAAUAAUGUCUGGAAUGGAGUAAAUGGAAUGGUCACCAUAACACAUGAUCGGGGUUGACCUCAUUCACUAAAUCCAGGAAUGGCAACAGCUGGUGUCUGAUGGCGACCGAUCACCAAGUGGAUGCAGGCAAUACCCAUUUAAGGUGAGACUGAACAUGGACAAGGCACAGGAGAAAUGUAAGGAGAGCUACCGGAGCAGAAUCAAGAAGGGGACUACUGCUAUGACAUCCGGGCGAUAUUUUUUUAAUAUAUUUUUUUAUAUUUUACCUUUAUUUAACUAGGCAAGUC